GUGGGUUAUGGGGACAUGUACCCCAUGACAGUGGGGGGCAAGAUUGUGGGCUCGCUGUGUGCCAUCGCUGGGGUCCUCACCAUUGCCCUGCCUGUGCCCGUCAUCGUCUCCAAC
rfam:Equus caballus chromosome 6, whole genome shotgun sequence.